UGGGGAAUAUUGGACAAUGGGCGAAAGCCUGAUCCAGCCAUGCCGCGUGUGUGAAGAAGGUCUUCGGAUUGUAAAGCACUUUAAGUUGGGAGGAAGGGUAGUAACCUAAUACGUUGCUACUUUGACGUUACCGACAGAAUAAGCACCGGCUAACUUCGUGCCAGCAGCCGCGGUAAUACGAAGGGUGCAAGCGUUAAUCGGAAUUACUGGGCGUAAAGCGCGCGUAGGUGGUUCAGUAAGUUGGAAGUGAAAUCCCCGGGCUCAACCUGGGAACUGCUUUCAAAACUGCUGAGCUAGAGUACGGUAGAGGGUGGUGGAAUUUCCUGUGUAGCGGUGAAAUGCGUAGAUAUAGGAAGGAACACCAGUGGCGAAGGCGACCACCUGGACUGAUACUGACACUGAGGUGCGAAAGCGUGGGGAGCAAACAGG
rnacentral:rRNA from 2 species